CCUACGGGUGGCAGCAGUAGGGAAUCUUUCACAAUGGGCGAAAGCCUGAUGCAGCAACGCCGCGUGCAGGAUGAAGGCCUUCGGGUUGUAAACUGCUUUUAUAAGCGAGAAAUAUGAUGGUAACUUAUGAAUAAGGAACGGCUAACUACGUGCCAGCAGCCGCGGUCAUACGUAGGAUCCGAGCAUUAUCCGGAGUGACUGGGUGUAAAGAGUUGCGUAGGUGGCAUAAUAAGUAGCUAGUGAAAUCUGGUGGCUCAACCAUUCAGACUAUUAGCUAAACUGUUAAGCUCGAGACCGUUAGGGGUAACUAGAAUUUCUAGUGUAGGGGUGAAAUCCGUAGAUAUUAGAAGGAACACCGAUAGCGUAGGCAGGUUGCUGGGACAAUACUGACGCUAAGGCACGAAAGCGUAGGGAGCAAACAGGAUUAGAUACCCUUGUAGUC
rnacentral:rRNA from 1 species